rnacentral:rRNA from 1 species
AUUGAACGCUGGCGGCAUGCCUAACACAUGCAAGUCGAGCGGACGAAGGGAGCUUUCUCCUGGAUUCAGCUGCGGACGGGUGAGUAAUGCCCAGGAAUCUGCCUGGUAUUUGGGGAUAACGUCCGUUCACGGGCGCUAAUACCGCAUACGUCCUGAGGUUGAAACUCGUGGAUCUUUGGACCUCACGCUUUCUGCUGUGCCUAGGACGCAUUAGCUAGCUGGUUGGGUAAGGGCCUACCAAGGCGACGAUCCGUAACUGGCCUGAGAGGAUGAUCAGUCACACUGGAACUGAGACACGGUCCAGACUCCUACGGGAGGCAGCAGUGGGGAAUAUUGGGCAAUGGGCGAAAGCCUGACGCAGCCAUGCCGCGUGAGUGAAGAAGGUCUUCGGAUCGUAAAACUCUGUUAGUUGGGAGGAAGGACAGUGAGUGAAAACCUUGCUGUCUUGACGUUACCAAAAGAGAAAGCAACGGCUAACUACGUG